GCGUAGGCGGAAUAUUAAGUCAGGGGUGAAAGUUUGUGGCUCAACCAUAAAAUUGCCUUUGAUACUGGUAUUCUUGAGUACAUUUGAGGUAGGCGGAAUGUGUUGUGUAGCGGUGAAAUGCUUAGAUAUAAACACAGAACACCGAUUGCGAAGGCAGCUUACUAAACUAGUCACUGACGCUGAUGCACGAAAGCGUGGGGAUCGAACAGGAUUAGAUACCCCUGGUAG
rnacentral:rRNA from 1 species